rnacentral:rRNA from 1 species
AAGAAAGUAGAUAAGAGCGUAUGGAGGAUGCCUUGGCUCUCAGAGGCGAUGAAGGACGUGCUAAGCUGCGAUAAGCUGCGGGGAGUUGCAUAGAAACUUUAAUCCGUAGAUUUCCGAAUGGGGCAACCCGGCUGGUUGAAGACCAGUCACCGUAAGGAGCUAACCCGGAGAACUGAAACAUCUAAGUACCCGGAGGAACAGAAAACAAUAGUGAUUCCGCAAGUAGCGGCGAGCGAAAGCGGAUUAGCCCAAACCCUGAUCGUUACGGCGGUUAGGGGGUUGUAGGACUGCAUAGUAGAUGAUAUGAUGAAUUAGAAUGAUUUGGGAAAAUCAACCCUAGAAGGUGAAAGUCCUGUAUAAGUAAAGUAAUAUCAUCUGGCAGUAUCCUGAGUAUGGCGGGACCGGAGAAAUCCCGUCUGAAUCUGCCGGCACCAUUCGGCAAGGCUAAAUACUCCUGAGAGACCGAUAGUGAACCAGUACCGUGAGGGAAAGGUGAAAAGUACCCUGAGUAAGGGGGUGAAAUAGUACCUGAAACCAUACGCUUACAAGCGGUCGGAGCUGCCUAGUGCAGUAACGGCGUGCCUUUUGCAUAAUGAGCCUACGAGUUAGUGUUGUUGGCAAGGUUAAUACAUUCAGUGUUGAAGCCGAAGCGAAAGCAAGUCUUAACAGGGCGAACAGUCAGCAGUACUAGACGCGAAACUUUGUGAUCUACCCAUGACCAGGGUGAAGUGUAGGUAACACUACAUGGAGGUCCGAACCAGUUGACGUUGAAAAGUCUUUGGAUGAGUUGUGGGUAGGGGUGAAAGGCCAAUCAAACUGAGAAAUAGCUCGUACUCCCCGAAAUGCUUUUAGGAGCAGCGUGGAGUUUAGUUUGUCAGAGGUAGAGCUACCGAUUGGACUAGGGGGAGUCAAAUCCUACCAAAUCCAGACGAACUCCGAAUGCUGAUAAAUAUACUCCGCAGUGAGGGUUGGGGUGCUAAGGUCCCAAUCCGAGAGGGAAAGAACCCAGACCUACAGCUAAGGUCUCUAAAUUUACACUAAGUUGAACUAAGGAGGUUUAGUUGCUUAGACAGCCAGGAUGUUGGCUUGGAAG